AAAGCCUAUCAUCUUUAAAAUCAGCACUACCUAUUUUAUCUAAAACCAAAUCCAUUGUCUCAGACUCUGGGAAUGUUCUGUGUUUUUGAUGCCUCCCUAUCUUGACUGCUGGCCUCACUGUUCUAGUUACCCAGACCUAAAGCCUCUGGGUUUCUCUAUCUCCAUCCUAUCCCUCACUAAAUCCUACAUAUUCCACUCCAACACAUUUUCAAACUCUGUCUCCUCCUUUCCAUUUCUACUGCCCUGCUUUCUGGCCUUCUGUACUCCUUACCUGGAUCUCCUAACUUGCCUUCUAUCCUUCAAUCUCUGGUCUUCAAAUUCAUUCUUUACAUUUUAUCAAGGAGCACAGAUCUGAUUCUGUUACUUCUCUGUUCCAAAACAAAACAAACACAACAAAAAACUCCAAAAUCUCCCUGUUGCCUGAAAACCUUUCUGAACUCCAU
rnacentral:lncRNA from 1 species